ensembl:snRNA U6 U6 spliceosomal RNA
GUGCUCCCUUCAGCAGCACGUGUACUAAAAUUGGAGUGAUACAGAGAAGAUUAGCAUGGCCCCUACACAAGGCUGACACAAAUUUGUGAAGCGUUCCAUGUUUUU